CUUAAGUGAGUGAAACAAAAGCAAAUGGCCAAAUGAGGUAAAAAGUGUGUUGGUUGGUUUGUGGUCUGACUUGGUUGUCUUGGUCUGGCAAGAAAACAAUCCAACAAGGUGACUUUGAGACCUUGUAUCUUGAUGAUUAUGUGACCAAAUGGCAAGGCAAUGCAAACAGUAGGAAGAGGGCAUGGAGCUUAACAUCUUUCAUAUUGA
rnacentral:lncRNA from 1 species